UACGUAGGGUGCGAGCGUUAAUCGGAAUUACUGGGCGUAAAGCGUGCGCAGGCGGUUCGUUGUGUCGGCGGUGAAAGCCCCGGGCUUAACCUGGGAAUGGCCGUUGAAACUGGCGAACUGGAGUGUGGCAGGAGGGGGGUGGAAUUCCGCGUGUAGCAGUGAAAUGCGUAGAGAUGCGGAGGAACACCGAUGGCGAAGGCAGCCCCCUGGGCUAACACUGACGCUCAGGCACGAAAGCGUGGGGAGCAAACAGG
rnacentral:rRNA from 1 species